ACUGCCGUACCAGAUGUGAAUCAGGGCUUAUAUAAUAGAGGGUCUCACAAGUUAAUCACAUCUACAACUUAUAGACUCCUGUGCGGACUUUUCCGGAGUACAUUGGGAUAAUGGUGUUGGCUGCUGUAGUUUUGCCUGUACUCUUGUGUGUAGCGAUAUUACCAGAUAUAUAUAUUUGGCAGACCCUUAAGGACUUAAUGGUCAACUGCAAAAUGGGUGUGGAUAUACAGGGGGAGUACAAACCGUACAUAUCAUUGACAAAAUGCCUAAGAGGAGCAAGAUUGCUGAAGAAAUAAUCCAGAAUCUUUUUGGAAAUGGAAGAAUUGUAACAUCACGUGUAAACAUAAAAAAGGAAUAAAUGAUUUCAUAGCUUAAA